rnacentral:rRNA from 1 species
GGUUAAGUUACUAAGGGCACACGGUGGAUGCCUUGGCGCUAGGAGCCGAUGAAGGACGCAGCGAACUGCGAUAAGCCUCGGGGAGCGGUAAGCACGCUUUGAUCCGGGGAUCUCCGAAUGGGGGAACCCACCAUCCGUAAUGGGAUGGUAUCCGUCACUGAAUCCAUAGGUGGCGAGAAGGCAUACCCGGUGAACUGAAACAUCUAAGUAGCCGGAGGAAGAGAAAACAAUAGUGAUUCCGUCAGUAGCGGCGAGCGAACGCGGAUUAGCCUAAACCGUCAGGUUUACCUGGCGGGGUUGUGGGGCGUCUCACAUGGAGUUACAAAAGACGCGCGUAGGCGAACAGUUUGGGAAGGCUGACCAUAGAGCGUGACAGUCGCGUAGCCCAAACGCGCGUCUCUCCGAGACCCACCCCGAGUAGCGCGGGACACGUGAAAUCCCGUGUGAAUCUGGCAGGACCAUCUGCUAAGGCUAAAUACUCCCUAGCGACCGAUAGUGAACCAGUACCGUGAGGGAAAGGUGAAAAGCACCCCGGGAGGGGAGUGAAAUAGUACCUGAAACCGUGUGCUUACAAAUAGUCGGAGCCCGAUAAUCCACCCACGAAAGUAUUACUUUCGCGGGGCCCGGAAAUGGGUGACGGCGUGCCUUUUGUAGAAUGAACCGGCGAGUUACGGUAGCGUGCGAGGUUAAGUCGAAGAGACGGAGCCGCAGCGAAAGCGAGUCUGAAUAGGGCGCAAGUACGUUGCCGUAGACCCGAAACCGUGUGAUCUAGCCAUGUCCAGGGUGAAGGUAGGGUAACACCUACUGGAGGCCCGAACCCACGCACGUUGAAAAGUGCGGGGAUGAGGUGUGGCUAGCGGUGAAAUUCCAAUCGAACUCGGAGAUAGCUGGUUCUCCCCGAAAUAGCUUUAGGGCUAGCCUCGGAUUGGGACCCCGCCGGACGCGAGCGUAAGCUUGUGUCCGGUGGGACCCUUAGAGUCUUGGAGGUAGAGCACUGAUUGGGCUAGGGGCCCUCAUCGGGUUACCGAACUCAGUCAAACUCCGAAUGCCAAUGACUUAUGUCCGGGAGUCAGACGAUGAGUGCUAAGAUCCAUCGUCAAGAGGGAAACAGCCCAGACCAUCAGCUAAGGUCCCCAAGUGUAUGUUAAGUGGGAAACGAUGUGGAGUUGCCCAGACAACCAGGAUGUUGGCUUAGAAGCAGCCACCAUUUAAAGAGUGCGUAAUAGCUCACUGGUCGAGUGACUCUGCGCGGAAAAUGUAACGGGGCUAAACAUACCACCGAAGCUAUGGCAGUCCUUACGGACUGGGUAGGGGAGCGUUCCAAGCAGCGGUGAAGCCGUACCGGAAGGAGCGGUGGAGCGCUUGGAAGUGAGAAUGCCGGUGUAAGUAGCGAAAAGACAAGUGAGAAUCUUGUCCACCGAAAGCCUAAGGUUUCCUGGGGAAGGCUCGUCCUCCCAGGGUUAGUCGGGACCUAAGCUGAGGCCGAAAGGCGUAGGCGAUGGACAACAGGUUGAUAUUCCUGUACCACCUCUGUUCCGCUUGAGCGAUGGCGUGACGCAGGAGGAUAGGGUGAGCGGCCUACUGGAUGGCCGUCCAAGCAGCAAGCCUGGUGUGUAGGCAAAUCCGCACACUAUCAAGGGCAAGCUGUGAUGGCGAGGGAAAUUACAGUACCGAAGUCCCUGAUUUCACACUGCCAAGAAAAGCGUCUAGCGAGGAACAAGGUGCCCGUACCGCAAACCGACACAGGUAGGCGAGGAGAGAAUCCUAAGGUGCGCGGGAUAACUCUUGCUAAGGAACUCGGCAAAAUGGCCCCGUAACUUCGGGAGAAGGGGCGCCCCGGUAGGGUGAGGGUCCCCGCCUGAUGCGAGCGUAAGCUUGUGUCAGGUGGGCCGAGCCCGAGGGGGCCGCAGUGAAAAGGCCCAAGCGACUGUUUAGCAAAAACACAGGUCUCUGCGAAGCCGCAAGGCGAAGUAUAGGGGCUGACGCCUGCCCGGUGCUGGAAGGUUAAGGGGAUGGGUUAGCUUUGGGACCCUGCCGAACGCGAGCGUAAGCUUGGGUUCGGCGGGCCGAGGCGAAGCUUUGAACCGAAGCCCCAGUAAACGGCGGCCGUAACUAUAACGGUCCUAAGGUAGCGAAAUUCCUUGUCGGGUAAGUUCCGACCCGCACGAAAGGCGUAACGACUUGGGCGCUGUCUCGGCAAGAGACCCGGUGAAAUCAUAAUACCUGUGAAGAUGCAGGUUACCCGCGACAAGACGGAAAGACCCCAUGGAGCUUUACUGUAGCCUGGUAUUGGAACUUUGUGCAUCAUGUACAGGAUAGGUGGGAAGCUGAGAAGCAGGGGCGCCAGCCUCUGUGGAGCUGUCGGUGGGAUACCACCCUUGAUGUACGGAGUUUCUAACUCGUCGCCCUGAUCGGGCGAGAGGACCAUGCCAGGUGGGCAGUUUGACUGGGGCGGUCGCCUCCUAAAAGGUAACGGAGGCGCCCAAAGGUUCCCUCAGAAUGGUCGGAAAUCAUUCGUAGAGUGUAAAGGCAGAAGGGAGCUUGACUGCGAGACCUACAAGUCGAGCAGGGACGAAAGUCGGGCUUAGUGAUCCGGUGGUUCCGCAUGGAAGGGCCAUCGCUCAACGGAUAAAAGCUACCCUGGGGAUAACAGGCUUAUCUCCCCCAAGAGUCCACAUCGACGGGGAGGUUUGGCACCUCGAUGUCGGCUCAUCGCAUCCUGGGGCUGAAGUAGGUCCCAAGGGUUGGGCUGUUCGCCCAUUAAAGCGGUACGCGAGCUGGGUUCAGAACGUCGUGAGACAGUUCGGUCCCUAUCUGUCGCGGGCGCAGGAAGUUUGAGGAGAGCUGUCCUUAGUACGAGAGGACCGGGAUGGACGCACCGCUGGUGCACCAGUUGUCACGCCAGUGGCACAGCUGGGUAGCUAUGUGCGGAAGGGAUAAGCGCUGAAAGCAUCUAAGCGUGAAGCCCCCUCCAAGAUGAGACUUCCCACAGCGUUAAGCUGGUAAGACCCCUCAUAGACGAUGAGGUUGAUAGGUUCGGUGUGGAAGCGCGGCAACGCGUGGAGCUGACGAAUACUAAUCGGUCGAGGACUUAUCCAC